GCCGUGUGGCGUGGCAGCAGUGUGCUUCCCUGUCGACUGUUCGCUGCAAGUGCUGAGGCCCACUUGAGCAGCAGAAAAACACAAUGGGACCCGGGGAGAAGCUCUGAUCUGAGUGGAGAUCCUUUUGUGUGCUGUACUCACUGAGGCAGGCAAUUCUACACCUGGACGGGGUCCUCUGAGACCACGCAGCCCAGCCUUGGUUCCCAGAGUUUUGCCUGAAAAUCAGGACUCCUGCCCUCAUGCCAGGAUUCCAGGCCCAGGAAAUAACUAAACUGAAAGAAAGAGUGACAACUGCCAGAGCAGCGUUCCUUACACAGCAGGACUGGUUCUCCAUUGGGAGGGAUAGAACUCUGUUAGGCCAAUGGAGUGGUGACUUUCCCACCACCCCAUCAAUCAUCAAGGUGGAACUGACAAAGGACAGCGACUCAGCUUCCAUCGCAGCAGGAACUAGCUGGCUCUCUGCUGAUAUGGCUGGGGUGAAACUGAAGCGGGACCUUCACGCAGUGCCUGAAGAAGCUAGAGAAGCUAGUCAGUCACCCUGCUCUUCCUUGCCUCUCAAGAGGAGCUCUUAUGAGCUGGGAAAUUCCUUCUUGGCACUGAACGAUGCUGGCUUGGGGGCAUGGGUGGGAUGAUAGAGGCAAAAUGAAGUUGUCUUCCUUCUCUUCUGAGAUUAUUCUUAGCUUUUUUUGUUCCAUGAUAUUGCUAAAACUUCCCAAGUGGAUUCUAGAGGUCUGGAGUUGUUUUUGUUUGCAGAUAGCUGUCUAAUUGUUGAUCUUUGUGGGGGGGCUGGGGAAGCUGAGAUUCCUACGUCACCAUUUUUUUCCUCAGAAUCCUAAAACUUUUAAGUUUUUUUAGUAAGGUUGUAAGAUACAAAAUCAAAAAGUAAAAAUCAACUGUAUUUUCUUACACUAGCCAUGAACAGUCAGCAGUUGGAUUAUUUAAAAAUACUAUUUAUAAUAUUGAAAAAUAUGAAAUAUUUAGAAACUAAUCUGACAAAUGAUAUGCAAGACCUGUCCACUGAAAACCAUAAAACUUUACUGAGAGAAAUUAGAGAGGAUCAAAGUAAUUCAAGACUAUAUCUGGAUUAGAAUGAGUAGUGUUGCUAAAAUGCCAGUUCUCCCCAAAUUGCUGGGUAGAUUGAAUACAAUCCCAACAAAAAUUUCAACAGGCUUUUUUGUGUAGAAAUGUACAAGCCAAUGUUAAAAUUUAUAUGGCAAUGUAGAAGACCUAGAAUUGUCAAAAUAGCUUUGAAAAAAGACAAAAUACUAACAGUACCCGAUUCUAAAACUUAUUAUAAAUCUAUAGUAAUCAAGAUGGUAUGUAAAUUUAGACAGAUAAAGAGUCCAGAAUAGACAUAUAGAUGUGUGUGUGUGUGUGUGUGUGUGUGUGUAAGUGAAACUUGAAAAAUAAGUAGAAUUGCCAGGGUUUUCCAGCAGAUGGGACAGUGUGAGGGAAUGCCUUGUGGUGAGGAAGAGGAGGAAUUCUUUGAAGAACUCUUCUAGAAGUUAGAGACAACAAAGAGAGAUAAUAGGUGAUGCUAGAAAAUCAGUUGAAGCAAAAAUGCACAUAGUUUGACAAGCUGUGUUAAGGAUUUUGGUUUGUAUCUUAAAGGUGAUGGAAUUCAUGUCAGGC
rnacentral:lncRNA from 1 species